rnacentral:hammerhead_ribozyme from 1 species
AUACUGCUGAUGGGUCCCAAACUGGGACUAAACAGCCGUCCAGUAU